UUAACACAUGCAAGUCGAGGGGCAGCAUGGUCUUAGCUUGCUAAGGCCGAUGGCGACCGGCGCACGGGUGAGUAACGCGUAUCCAACCUGCCUUACACUCUUGGACAGCCUUCUGAAAGGGAGAUUAAUACAAGAUGUUAUCAUGAGUAAGCAUUUUCGCAUGAUUAAAGGUUUACCGGUGUAAGAUGGGGAUGCGUUCCAUUAGAUAGUAGGCGGGGUAACGGCCCACCUAGUCUUCGAUGGAUAGGGGUUCUGAGAGGAAGGUCCCCCACAUUGGAACUGAGACACGGUCCAAACUCCUACGGGAGGCAGCAGUGAGGAAUAUUGGUCAAUGGACGAGAGUCUGAACCAGCCAAGUAGCGUGAAGGAUGAAGGUUCUAUGGAUUGUAAACUUCUUUUAUACGGGAAUAAACGAAUCCACGUGUGGAUUUUUGCAUGUACCGUAUGAAUAAGGAUCGGCUAACUCCGUGCCAGCAGCCGCGGUAAUACGGAGGAUCCGAGCGUUAUCCGGAUUUAUUGGGUUUAAAGGGAGCGUAGAUGGGUUGUUAAGUCAGUUGUGAAAGGUUGCGGCUCAACCGUAAAAUUGCAAUUGAUACUGGCAGUCUUGAGUACAGUUGAGGUAGGCGGAAUUCGUGGUGUAGCGGUGAAAUGCUUAGAUAUCACGAAGAACUCCGAUUGCGAAGGCAGCUUACUAACCUGUAACUGACAUUGAUGCUCGAAAGUGUGGGUAUCAAACAGGAUUAGAUACCCUGGUAGUCCACACGGUAAACGAUGAAUACUCGCUGUAGGCGAUAUACAGUCUGCGGCCAAGCGAAAGCAUUAAGUAUUCCACCUGGGGAGUACGCCGGCAACGGUGAAACUCAAAGGAAUUGACGGGGGCCCGCACAAGCGGAGGAACAUGUGGUUUAAUUCGAUGAUACGCGAGGAACCUUACCCGGGCUUAAAUUGCAACCGAAUAUGGCGGAAACGCUAUAGCUAGCAAUAGCGGUUGUGAAGGUGCUGCAUGGUUGUCGUCAGCUCGUGCCGUGAGGUGUCGGCUUAAGUGCCAUAACGAGCGCAACCCUUGCCGAUAGUUACUAACAGGUCAUGCUGAGGACUCUGUCGGGACUGCCAUCGUAAGAUGUGAGGAAGGUGGGGAUGACGUCAAAUCAGCACGGCCCUUACGUCCGGGGCUACACACGUGUUACAAUGGGGGGUACAGAGGGCUGCUACCACGCAAGUGGAUGCCAAUCCCAAAAACCUCUCUCAGUUCGGAUUGAAGUCUGCAACCCGACUUCAUGAAGCUGGAUUCGCUAGUAAUCGCGCAUCAGCCACGGCGCGGUGAAUACGUUCCCGGGCCUUGUACACACCGCCCGUCAAGCCAUGGGAGCCGGGGGUACCUGAAGUGCGUAAACGCAAGGAGCGCCCUAGGGUAAAACUGGUGACUGGGGCUAA
rnacentral:rRNA from 1 species